GCACUAGCUGGGCGACGGGAACGGGCCAGAGCGGCUGGAAGCGGGAGUCACGUGCCCGCGCCCAGGCCCCGCCCCCCCGCUGCCGGUUCAAGCAGGACAGUUUCAGGAAUGUAUGACUUGAGAGACGCAGCCAGACAGACCAUCCAAAUGCUUCAGUUGGCAGGAUGAAGUGAUAUGCUAAUGUAAGAGAAAAGGCUUGGGACAGAAAUUACACACAAGCUGGUCUAAGAGAUUGGAAACAGGAUCUGGAACACAACAGAAGGAUGGUGCACGUUGAUCCUGAUGGUAAAACAAGCGUACCCGUUAAGAUGACUGCGGGGAAAGUAUCCUGUUUUCAUCUACGCGGCCUGCAAAAUCUUAAAAUCUUGAAGACCUGGACUUCUUCAGCUGUGACAUCACAAACCUGAAGGAUUACAGGGAAAGGAUUUUUGAGCUGCUUCAGGAGAUCACCUACCUGGAUUGAUUUGAUCAGGAAGAAGGGGAUGAGGAAGAUGAAGCAGAUGAAGAUGAAGCUGGUCCACCAGGAGAGUACAAAGAAGAUGAAGAUGGUGGAGGUUCAGAUUUGGGGGAGGGGGAAAAGGAGGAAGAAGCUGGCCUUUCAUACCUGAUGAUGGACAAGAUCCAGGUAGGACUUACCCUAUUCUACUGUAAGGCUCAGGAUUUUCUUGAUACUAUCUAGCUAUAAACGUGUAAUAUUUUAAACGUGUAUAAGCAUAAUCAUGUAAAUCCACUAUCAUAUGUGAGCGAUAGAGUACUUUAGAGAGAGACCUUUUACUAUCAAAGAAGUGCGUUACAGUAGGGGAACCACCGCUCUUUGGUAUUCUCCGUUACCUUGCUCAACAUGAAAUGCUGCAAGAUUCAUUACUUCACGGCCUUGUAGAAUUAGUGUCAUUCUGCACCAGAUCACCAAGUCCAAUUUGGAGGAGAACGUGGCCGAAACAAAUCCACCUGCCCUACCAGGAUGCUCACAAGUGCCUGGGUCACUUGAGCCUUGAGAGCCAUGCCCUCACCAUGCAGAUCUGCAGGUUGUCAGGUGUGGGGCUGGGGCUUCCAGGCAGGGGGGAGAGGGUGAGUAUGGAGGAGCUAGGGCCUGAGGGUGCAGGGGGCUGAUCAGGACAUGAGGGCUGAGGCAAAGGGGAGACAGGCUGGGAAUCCAGGAGUGAGGGCUGGCCACAGGAAGAAGUCAGGGAGAGGCUGGAGCUGUGGCCCUGGGAGUGCCGUGGGUCUGGCUGUGCAGGGGAGAGCUGGGGUGGGGAGCGGAGACUUGCCCUGGGUGGGAGCGCAUUGCCCUUGCCCUGGGUAGGAGCACAGGACCUUGAGCUCCUCUUAGUGGAGGGAGGUGGGUGGGGAGUUGGAUCCUGGCAUUUUGGGGAAGGAGAAGGGAUUGGACGCUCCUUUCACCUCACUUAUCUCAGAGCCCUUUUCUUUCCUAGCCAGGGGGGCAGAAAACCCAUGUGAUGUUUGCUGAGCUGACCUGCAGGGAGCCUGAUGGACCCAGGGGAUGGGAACGGGGCUGUGUUGGGUUUGCUGGUCUGGGAAGGAAGCGAGUUAGAGCAGAGAAGGCGUGAGGACCAGGACUUGCAGGUUGUGCCCUGCUCUGGCUCUUCGAAAGGAGUGCUGUCCAGCAUGCCAUAGUGAGGGGCAUGGUUUGGGAGGACUCCUGGGUCCUGUUUCUAGCUGAGGAAAGGAGGUGGGUGGAAGUGGCUGGGAGGAAGGUUUUGUGGCUCAGGACUCCUGGCUUCUUUUGGGGAUCUGUCACUUCCCCAGAAUGAACCCACAAAUCAUCUGUGCAUUGAGUCAAUUGAUACCUUGGGUGAUGCAGUCAGCACGUACAUGGAGCGGUGAUCAAUGUGAGCCAUGAUGCACAACUGAUCACGCAGACCAGCUGCCAGCUCUGGGUGGUGGAGGAGCAGUCCACCAGCAACAUCAACGGCGACUUCGACUGCAAGUGGGAGGUGCUGGAGGCCUCGGGCCAGGUCAGUAUUAACUGGCCCCGGGAGUGACCUUGCUCUGGGGAGGCUCCUUGAGGACCUGCCCAUCCCCUCUCAGAGACCUGCCUGCACAGCUUCACGUGCACCCACACCCAAAGGCCUCCGUGUAGAGGGGGCAGGGCCGCAGGCAUGGUUGUGGGUUGAACUUUGACGAUGUGUUUUGGGGGCCUAAUACAAGACAUGUUAUAUUUUUAGAGCUGUUCUUCUACACCUGCUGCUUUCCCUGGAGAGAGAGACUUAAUUUAUAUGAAUGGGAGGAGGGUUGUACUGGAAUGGCCUAUUUUAGGCAGGAGUGAGGGCUGUCCUUGUCCCAUUGCUGGGUUCCCUGCCCCCCAGCAGUCUGGAGAAUGGCUUGAGCCUUGUUUUGCUUCCACCCAAGAGGAUUAUAUUAAAAUAUAAUAAAGGAAAAGUGGCUCGUGAUGGGUUUUAUUCUGAAGGGGUAGGAGUGGGGCUUCACAGUGCUGGCAGGAGGGACACCCCUGAGAUUGCAGUGGACAGACAGACUGGGCUGAGGCAUGGGGAUGGAAAGAGCUUCCCUGUAAGACACAUGGCUUGUCCCAUCACAGACAAUGAUGGCUGAAAGGGACCUCAAGAGGUCACCUGGUCUAGUCCAACCCCCUGCUUAGAACAGGUCCACCCACAGCUAUAUCACCCCAGCCAAAGCUUUCUCUACCGAGGCCUUAACCUCCAAGGAUGUAGAUCCCACAGCCUCUCUGGUUAACCUAUUCUAGUGUUUUACUACUCUCCAUGUGAGGAGGCAAGGCCCUACCGGGGCUUGCCUGAUCCCCAAAUCUGAUCUGAGAAGUUGGCCAAGUGUCUCUUGGAAGAACAAAUGCUAAAAAGGAUUGUGAGGGAGAAGCCUCGAGUGUCAAACACAAGACUGGAGAGCACCUCCUGCAGCUCCCCGCUAAGCCUUGCACUGGGGCAGAAAUUGAGGCCCCCAUAGUGACAGAGGGAGGGAGCUGGGCAGGGCUGGGGCUGCUGCCCAGCCAGGGCUGUGUGUGGCCCCAGUCGGAGCAGGAUGGAGCCCGGGGCCAGGGGGGUGUAGGGGGACUGGUUCCCUGCUGCUGAAUGCACUCCUGGGGAGGACGUGGGGGGCAUGUGCCUUCCAGAUUUGUGCGUAGGGUGGGUGUGGAUGCAGGCUGGAGCUGACUCCCCGCCUUGCUGCCCUCUCCCAUGCCUCCUCACGCAUGCACACACACCUUUUCCUCCUCAUGCACAUGUGCGUACAGCCCUGUGCCUCCCCACACAAGCACACACAUACCCCUUUGCCUCCUCAGGCACACACGCACGUGCACACAUGCACGUACGCAUACCUGUGCCUCUCACGCAUACACAUAAAUACGUGCACCUGUGCCUCCUCACAUGUAGACACACAUGCUCACACCCAUGCCUAUUCUCACGUGUGCACACUUGCACCCCUGUGCCUUCUGUGGUAUGCACUUACACAUACACACACCCCUGUGCUUCCACACAUGCACUCGCACAGAUACUGCCUGUGCCAGCUUGCACACACAUGCACACACACACACGCAUCACUGUGCCUCCUCCCACAUGUGUAGGAGCAGCAGCAUGGGGCAGUGGGGGGCAGCGGGGAUCGCCCCUGCCCAGCAGCACCCAGUCAGCACUGAGGCUUUUCUUUAAAGUACUGAGCUGGUGGGGGAGGUGGGGUGUGUGUGUGGAGGAGGCAGCCAUGUGGGGGGCAGCCAUGGUGGGGCUGGGGGAGCGGGGCGGGGUGGUACUGGGAAAUUGGAAGGUUGUGGGGGUUGGCAGGGGUCCCCCCAUGGUCCCGUCCCCCAGCCCGCCCCCCCCGCCCCGCCCCGUCCCCCGUCCCCCGUCCCUAGUACUUACCAGUUCGGAGUCAGCUGCAGCUCCCUGCUGCAGCCACCGGGGACUGCCCGAAUCAUCAAAGCUCUCCAAAUCUUUUCUGAAGAUUCAGAGAGCUUUGUAUUGAUUCGGACCUUUCAAUUGGUCCCCUGAUUUGAUUUGGAUUUGGAGAUUUGGCCAUCGAAUUGGGCCAAAUCUCUGAAUCGAAUCACCACCCGAAGCUUUGCGUAGCCCUAUUGCUCAGCUGGGUGGUCAUAACACAGAGGAGAGAGCAUGGGGAAGGCAGGAUGCUGCUAGGUCUGUUUUAGGGGUGUCUAUUCCAGCGUUUUCACUAAGGCCACUUGAUUUGCCCCGAGAUGAUUUCUGGAGAGGUAAUAUCAUGAGGGGAAAGGGCCAUGCUGGCUGCCCCAGAGACAGCAAUAGAGUUAAAGCUCUCCCAACCCAAUAUGCCUUAAACGUGAAUCUCCUCCCAGGUCCUUUAAGGGACGAGUACUGGCCAGGAAGACCCCCUUGGGCCGAGGACAAGCCAAGCACCCGUGCUGUUGUAGUAGCUCUCUCUGUACCCCUAUGCCCAGGAGAUCCAUCUGGGCCCUUGCAGCUGAGCCAUCUGGGACAAGGAUGGUGCCUGGGAUCCACAGGUGCAAGGUGAUAAAUGGCGUCUAAUGGCCAGGGACGGAUUAGCAUCUCCCGGGCCCUGCAGAGCACACCCCUGCAGGGGGAAAGCAUUUCCGAUACAGGCUGGGCCUGGCGCACACGUAUUCAUUAGAGCUGUCACGGCAGGGGGCCGAUGGUCUCUGACUUCCCCCGGCAGGUCCCCAGGCAGCCCUUGUCCUGGUAACAUCUGAAUUCCUCUGUGCUUGCACUUCCUGACCUCUUGAAUACUCUCACUCCUCCUGCCAAGCUCAGCUGGGAGCCGCUGGCCCCUGUGGGCAGGGAGCAGGGGCAGAGUUGUGUGAAGGGGCUGAUCUCGGCUCUGGGGGGUUCAGAGAGACUCCGUGGGUCCGAGCCAGAGACCUGUUUGCCUGGGGAAGGCGUGCUGGUCUGUAUUCCCACCGUGGCCUGGGCGCCGCUCCUCCUCGUGCUGCUCACACGCUGCUUGGGUACCCCGAAGGGGAGGGUCAGCCACAUCCUGGGCUUUAUGAAUCCCUGGUUCUCUUCCCACAGGUGUUUUUUCCAGUUUCUUGCCUUUUGGUCCUGCCCUGUCUGCCACAAAACCAGAGGCUCAGUGCGGAUAAGGGAUUAAUUCCUGUCCUCCCAGGUUCCCUCUCACAUCCGCACUGACUCAAGCGCCCGCAAAGUCCGUGGCUCUGGGCAGCACUGCCAGUCUCUCUGGGACACUGAGCGGUGAGCACAGGCACUGCUGUGUCCACUGGGACCCACAAAACCAGGGCCAGGCCCCACAAUUUCUCUGGCACAGCGAGGGGAUCGAAGGGAAUGGAGUCCCAGACCGAUUCACCGUUUCCAACUCCAGCGCCAUACGCUGUUUAACCACCACCUAUGUCCCUGGGGAAGAUGAGGCCAUUUCCCGGUGUGGUGCAGGUUACAAGAUUGGAGGUAGUUAUGGGUAUGUCAGCGUGACACAAUCAGAUGAGGAACUGAGACAAAAACCUCCCUUGGGCUCAACGGGGCUCUUUGUGGCUUGGAUCUGUGCUCCAUGAUGAGUUUGCAUGUCAGCAAACUCUGCUAGCUCCUCGAGUAGCUACUCGCAGUCUAACAGGCCCUUCCUUGUCCUGCUCUGUCCUCGUACUCUUGGACAGGCACAGCAGCUUUUCACUGUUUCCCCACCUAGCAGCUCUCUGCCCUUGACUGUCAACAUAUAUUCCUCCUCUUCUCUUUUUGUAGAAAGGACUAAAGGUUCAGAGACACCUUUCCACACCCACUAUUAGCAAACGAAGGAUGGGAAUGCAUGAUACACAAACCCAGCACAGAUUCAGGAAACAUCUCCAAAAUGUGUGGUUGCAGCCUUCUCCCCUCUGAUUCCUUGACAGAUGUGUGGUGCCCCCUUCAGAGGGAAUCCCUUUCUUUAAGCAAAGAGCUAAACCCACACACCCAUUGAGGAGAAAGGGCAAUCCCAGCUCCGGAUUAAGGACUAUGCAGAGUGUCAUCCCUAAUCACACAUAAUCCCAUUUGUAUCCAGCCUUCGUCCCACAUCCUUGCUCAGAGGUUCAUAAAAGGGAAAGGAAUUCUCAUUUGGGAAGAAACGAGUGACCUCUCCUCUUUUACUGUCCUCCUCGUGCUGCCUGCUGGGUCCCAUCUUGUCCUGCUCUGUCAUUGCAUCCUUUGCCAACGGGCAAAACAACUUGUCAGUGCUUCCCCUUAGCAGUUCUCUGCUGUACGUGGUGGAGACUCAUUCAUCCCCUCCUCUGUUGCUUGCCGAGGUCUGUAUGCUUGGGAGCCCCUCUGCUCACCCAGCGUUCAGAAGCUCAGGGUGGCAUCUCGGGGUGAGAGUUUUCUGUAGACAAAGCAUUGGACCCCAUGGACGUCCUGAUGAGGAUGGGAAAUCAGAGCAAUGACUACAUAGCGAUGUGGAGCGUCAUCUCGGGUCACGUGUGCUUCCAUCCUGACACUCGGCGAGCAAAUUCUGUCUUCCAGGUUCAGUCGGAGGGAAGGAAAAUCAGUGGAUGAUGGCACUGCAGGGUGCUGGACUCUCAGAUAGUUUCUAAACUAAACAAAAGUUGAAGUACCCCCCCGGUGCUCAUAAGGGAAAUACACCUUUGUGAGAUGUUUGUCAUGGGGGACAGUGGGCUUUGGCCAAAUCUGGGGACUUGUUUGGGGGGUCUCUACAAAGGCACGAGAGAGAGGCAGAUAGCAGAGGCAGACACACACUGUGGGUAAAUGUGAUCCCACCUGACUAGCUGGUGUUUCACAUAACCUACAUCACUGUGCUACAUUCACAACUACGUGGGCUCAUUUUGUGAUGUUUCUAGUAAGUGGGGGAGGUCGAGGCAGCAGCAGCCAGGGAGCAGGGAGCAGAUUUGCAUGAAGGAACAGAUCUUGGUCCGGGAGUCAGAGAGAGACUGGGAGGGUCCCAGCGAGAAACUUCCUUGGCUCAGGAAGCUGUCCUAGUCUGGAUUCCCACCAUAACCCCUCUCCUCCUUGUGCUGCUCACGUGCUGCUCGGGUAACUCAUCAAAGGCCGCGUGCUGCAGAUUACUUUUGCAGACUUUCCUGAGAUGAACAGAGAAAUGGGGAGCCCGCUGUACGAGAGGAGAGUAAAGGAACUGCCUUGUCCUACCUUGUGAGAAGCAGACCGAGAGCGGAGAUGACUGCUGUCUGCGAUUACAUCCGAGAGAGCCAAGAGCCAUGCAGAAGAAAAGGAGAGUGCCAGCUCCAGAAAAAGUGAGUAAAUAGGAGUCCCACAUAGAAACAGGCUGAAGCUGAGAAGAAGGGUUGUAACCAUCAGAGCAGGAGGCUCUGGAGCAGGUUCCCCGUGGGAGGGAACAACUCAUUUUAAGAAGCAGAUUGACAGAUUUGAGCAUGGGCUGAUAUGUGGGAUUGCCUGUGCUGGGAAGGGUGUGGGCACGAGCCAGGAGGUCCCGUCCAGGCCCGUGUUACCCUGUCUGCUCCAGUCCAUCUUCAGAGAAAGAUGACCCACCCGUUGCACACGGAAGAGGCCACAAGAGGUCAUUGGAGUCACACAAAUCCCUUCCCUGCCCGGAGUGCGGCUGCCUGCUCUGUGCCUGCUUGUCACACAGGAGGAAACUGGUCCGGGGGGCAGUGCUGUAGGCGCUAGGGUGCGGGCGAUGUGCUGUUCAGCCGGGAGGGGGCGCGGGAGACGGGGGUGGGCAUCGCAGGGAGCGCAGAGAAGGCAGGACGCUGCCAGGUCUGUUCUGGGGGGCUGCUCCAGCGUUUUGGCUGAGGCCAUUCAAUCUCUUCCAAAAAGAUUUCUGGAGGCAGGAGCAUGAGUAUUUUGAUGGGAAAGGGUCCUGCUGGCUGCCCCAAAGACAGCAAUAGACUUAUAGCUCCCUCUCCAUGUGUCUUGAAUGUGGAGCUCCUUAUAGGGCACCCACCAGGGUUGUUGUAGUGUUGAUGGGAAUACAGCAAGGCCUACACAUAAAACCUUUGUGAUCAAAUUAAAAAAACAGUGCAUCUUGCACAAAAAUGCAAGUGGCAGCUGGGACCAUGCCAAAUAGAGCACCCCCAAUUGGUCUUAUUCUCUGUGCUAGAUUAUGUCAAAUCAAGGAAAUGGUCAACAGAGAACUGCCACGCUCAUCACAUGUACGCGUGUCUCAGAAGCCAGUAAAGGCAAGAAAGCUACAUAGACGGACAAAAAACUAGAGCUCUUCCUUCCAAAAUGAUAUCUUUCAUUACACCAACUGGAGAAUCACAAGAAAAUUGUCCUUUUCUGCAAGCUUUCGGGAUCAAAGUCCCUUUGUCAAGCUCUGGGAAAAGUAUAGGUGGUACAAGAUGGUAAGGAGUCCCUAUAGGUAGGAAAUCAACUUCAUUUUUGCACGGAGGGAGCUGGAGAUGGAAGACUGUUCCUCUGGGUCCGUGAGAGUGUCUUUGUGAGCUGUGCCAAGUAGCUCUUUGCUGUGUUGGUCAGGUAGGACUCCUUCCCUGGAGGUGUCAGAUGGCAAGCGGGGAAGUAACAAAAACUUCCUUCUGGUUCUGCAAUGAAGUUUAAAACCCCAAAAAGAAAGCUACAUACACAUUUCAAUUGACAUAGCAGCUACAGGGAACAAAAGGCUAAAUAUGCAUCUCAGCAGAAACUUGUAAAAGAUACAGAAAACAUGUCCUGUAUGUGACAAACACUUCUCCCAACAAACAUCCUAAGGGGUAAGGCGUUCAAAAUGUCUGAACCAUUCAGUGCAGGUCUGGAGUUUGAAAAACAAACCAUCGCCUGUACACGCUACUGCAAAUGUGCCCAGCUGAUAUACAGAUACCCCAAGACAGGUUUGGUGACACCUCUAAGUAUCCUGUCCAACUGCUCAGGCCCAUCCAAACGCUCAGACCUACAAUUAUAGGGUCUGCAGAGAUGCACAAGUUUUACCCCUAGACAAUGCAAGAAUAGGAGCCAGGCAAUUACUAGUUGUGAUAUGAUGAUCAACACCCUUUUCUCCCUGUUUGUCUGGACUCUAAGUGGCCAACUAUCAAGAAAAAAUGCUUUGAAGUUAUACAAUGAAACAAUAUAAGAACUAACAGAAUUUGCCAUCAAAGUGUGCGCUGCAGGAGAAGCAGAGAGAGAUCACUGCUACAUCGCAACCAGCUUAACCAGCAACGGAUCCUGCAUGGGAAAAGCUGCAAAACUGGACCAACUUCCUUCGCCAGCAUUUGUGAGAGAACACUAUUGCUGCUAAAUAUGUACUAGGACUUUGUGCAGUAGCUCCUUUUAUUUUGAGAAGGAGUCUUUUCCUGUCAUUUGGUUUGAUAAGUUUGCUUGUGGUAUUGUUAUUAAAGCCUUUCUGCUAUU